UUUGUGUAUUUUGUAUUUGGAUUCUGUUCAAUUUGACUUGAUCAUCUGGGAAUUAUUUUCUUCUCAGAGUAAAGGUCCAUGUUUACACCCAUAACGUAAUUUUGGUCUACUGUAUGCCUGCUGAUGGUCAAGCAACAUCUAAUAUUUUAAAGAGUAGUUUUGAUUCUACUCUACAUUUUGUUUGUGCCUGCACUGGAUUUAGACCCCCAUGACCUUUUAGUGGAGCAAUUGGUCUUUUGUGUCCUUCCUGUGCCACUAUUUGUUUGACGCAGUGGCUGGUCAGGUUAAUGUUACCACCCUGUUUCUAUUAGUAGAUAAUCCAAAAAUUACUUGGAGCUGAUCCAUCUUCCAAAGACUUGAAAAGGAAUGAUGUAGUUGCCCUACUUGACAAUCAGCUAAUCAGGCCAGGAACCAUGCUAAGCAGCAAAUGUCUGAAAUUGCCAAGUUUUGACUUACAACUUAUUGAAGGCUAUACUUAAUGGUUGUUCCCUGUGAUGAAAGGACAAGACUCCCAGCGCAGCAACCAGAUUGAAUGAGUCCACUAAUGUUCUUCGAUACCUUAGUGCCAAUCAGAAAAAUGAAAUUGUGGGCUAGACAUUUCUAAAGAUAAAAAUACGUAAACAUCUGAAAGACUACAAAAAAUGUACCCUUUUGUUUUUUAUCACCAGAGAUAAAAUAAUUAUUUAUAUGUUACAUGUGAAAAGCAAAUGUUCUACCUACAAAUACUUGUCAAUUGAUCAGACAGGAAAUUGAGAAAAACAUUGACUUGCCCAAUAAUAAACGAUUCUCCAAGAUGAUAAAGUGAUUGGAAUCUAUCCCUGUGCCAAUUCACAAGGAGACAGACCAAGUGCUGGAAGGUGGGAUAAGGCUGGAGGGUUCAUGGUCAGUUGGUGUGGAUAUGAUGGGCUGAAUGGUCUCCUGGCCUGCAACAAAUUUUGAUAUUUUGUUUCUACUUCGUUGAGAGAAGUAUUCAAUUUAUGUUGAAUUGGGUCAAUGUACUGUGAGCUAACUGUGAGGCUUUCCAAGUUCAAUUCCUUUGGAACACUAUAAGCCAUCAGGAGGAGGAGAUCUUCAAUCUCCCCAUAUGUCUCGGAUUCCAACCCAGGCCUUGGAGGUAAGGAUAACCUGCUAACCCAGUUCAUCAUCCAAUCACAUUAUAGUAACGAAAUAACCUCCAGACUGAAAACAUGAUUGAUUCUAUAAUUGU